AUAAGAUUAAGUUAGAUAGACUAAAUGUUUUCAAAACAUUCAGGGGCUUAUUGUCAUCUUAUG
rnacentral:tRNA from 1 species